rnacentral:rRNA from 1 species
UACGGAGGGUGCAAGCGUUAUCCGGAUUCACUGGGUUUAAAGGGUGCGUAGGUGGGCUGGUAAGUCAGUGGUGAAAUCUCCAGGCUUAACUUGGAAACUGCCAUUGAUACUAUUAGUCUUGAAUACCGUGGAGGUCAGCGGAAUAUGUCAUGUAGCGGUGAAAUGCUUAGAUAUGACAUAGAACACCAAUUGCGAAGGCGGUUGCCUGGGGCUUUGCUGACGCUGAUGCGCGAAAGCGUGGGGAGCGAUCCGG